UCUUGAUAAGUCUUCAGAGCUUUGUAAGAGCUCAUCACAAUUUGCUGU
rnacentral:tRNA from 1 species